GUAUUUUGAAUUAGUUUAUUCAUAAUAGUUUUCAGACAAAGUAUUUAAAAUAGAGUUGAUGUAGAGUCGCCUCUUCUCUUUCCGAAGAAAGAAAGCUAGCAAGCGACAGACAUUUCACACAAGGUGGAUAUGGAUUUUUUAAAAGUGCCAUAAAACACUUAUUAUGAAUGAUCCUUCCGCAGGUUCACCUACGGAAA
rnacentral:misc_RNA from 1 species